rnacentral:RNase_P_RNA from 1 species
CGAGUGCCGUGGGCAGUCGCUGGGCCGAAAGGCCUGGAGGAAAGUCCGGGCUCCAUAGGGCAGGGUGCUGGAUAACGUCCAGCGGGAGUGAUCUCAGAGAGAGUGCCACAGAAAAGAAACCGCGGCGGUGGCGCAUGCUGCCGACGUAAGGGUGAAACCGUGGGGUAAGAGCCCACGGGCUGCGGCGGUGACGUCGUGGUCGGUAAACCUCACCCGGAGCAAGAUCGAACAGGGGGCGUUCGAGGGCGGCCCGCCCGAGCCCCCGGGUGAUCGCACGAGGCGUGCAGCAAUGUACGUCCCAGAGGAAUGACGGCCGUCGCCGCUCGGGCGACCGGGCGGCGUCACAGAACCCGGCUUACAGCUCACUCGACCU